UACGUAGGGUGCAAGCGUUGUCCGGAAUCACUGGGCGUAAAGCGCACGUAGGCGGAUUGCUAAGUCAGGGGUGAAAUCCUGGAGCUCAACUCCAGAACUGCCUUUGAUACUGGCGAUCUCGAGUCCGGGAGAGGUGAGUGGAACUGCGAGUGUAGAGGUGAAAUUCGUAGAUAUUCGCAAGAACACCAGUGGCGAAGGCGGCUCACUGGCCCGGUACUGACGCUGAGGUGCGAAAGCGUGGGGAGCAAACAGG
rnacentral:rRNA from 1 species